AUUGAACGCUGGCGGCAUGCCUUACACAUGCAAGUCGAACGGUAACGCGGGGCAACCUGGCGACGAGUGGCGAACGGGUGAGUAAUGCAUCGGAACGUGCCCAGUAGUGGGGGAGUAGCCCGGCGAAAGACCGGAUUAAUACCGCAUACGACCUACGGGUGAAAGCGGGGGAGUCGCAAGACCUCGCGCUAUUGGAGCGGCCGAUGUCAGAUUAGGUAGUUGGUGAGGUAAAGGCUCACCAAGCCUUCGAUCUGUAGCUGGUCUGAGAGGACGACCAGCCACACUGGGACUGAGACACGGCCCAGACUCCUACGGGAGGCAGCAGUGGGGAAUUUUGGACAAUGGGCGCAAGCCUGAUCCAGCCAUGCCGCGUGCGGGAAGAAGGCCUCGGUUGUAACCG
rnacentral:rRNA from 1 species